AGCAGCCGCGGUAAUUCCAGCUCCAAUAGCGUAUAUUAAAGUUGCUGCAGUUAAAAAGCUCGUAGUUGAAUUUCGGGAUCAAUAUGUUGGUCGUGCCUCGGUACGUACUAGCUUAUUGGUUUCUUCCUUCUGACGAACCAUAAUGUCAUUUAUUUGGUGUUAUGGGGAAUCAGGACUGUUACUUUGAAAAAAUUAGAGUGUUUAAAGCAGGCUCACGCUUGAAUACAUUAGCAUGGAAUAAUGAAAUAGGACGUUUGAUUCUAUUUUGUUGGUUUCUAGGAUCGACGUAAUGAUUAAUAGGGAUAGUUGGGGGCAUUAGUAUUCAAUUGUCAGAGGUGAAAUUCUUGGAUUUAUUGAAGACUAACUACUGCGAAAGCAUUUGCCAAGGAUGUUUUCAUUAAUCAAGAACGAAAGUUAGGGGAUCGAAGACGAUCAGAUACCGUCGUAGUCUUAACCAUAAACUAUGCCGACUAGGGAUCGGAUGAUGUUAAUUUUUUAAUGACUCAUUCGGCGCCUUACG
rnacentral:ncRNA from 2 species